AGGUUACAGUGCUUCCGCUGGUGCAUCCAAUGGACAAGGUUCACAAACCAAUGGUCGUGCUGGAGUCAGAUCACCAAAUGGGUUUGCAAAUUCAAGGACUGGAGCUGCCAAGGCUGCUAAAGCAGGAUAUGGAAGUACCACAGGAGCUGCUUUAGGACCCCAACUAGGGUAUUCAAAUGGAGCAACUCCCAAUGGGUUUGGAUCCAACCAUAAAGGUUAUGGAGCUGUGAAAGGAUUUGGUCCUCAGAUGAAUGG